AGUUGAGUUAUGUUAACCAGCUGCGCUGUGCUUAUCAUACUAUAUAGUGCUCUACUGGCUUAAGUAGUGAGAGUUAAAGAAGUGUGUCAGGUCUUCAAAUUGUUGCUAACCUCUAUUGCUAUGUUUUCUCCAGGUCAUUUUAAAUGGACAGCUUUGUCGCUGAUAAGCUAACUGAGUGGCGGCUGUCUAGGCUGAUAGAGAAUUUUAGAGUGGGGUUAUGCAGAGCCAACUGGAUCCGGGCUAAUAGCUCCAAGGACAUACUGGAACUCCUCACAGAGUACCCUCAUCUCACCAGUCCGGGCAUGAUAGCGCAGGACUUUCAGGUGCUGCAUGGUGAGGCUGCACCUAAAUUAUUUGAGACCUGGAUCCCUGAAUAUGCUGAAAAGGUCCUGUACUUGGCCAAGCAGGACAAUAAACUCCCUUCACUUUCUGUUGAGGACAUGACACUGGGUAAGUUAAAACUGACCUUUUGUGUGUUCUAUGGCAAGGGUCCUGUGAUUCCUUUCCUUUUGGUCACAUUUGUCUGUAUGUUGAGACACAAAUAUCUGUUCAUUUACAUAUUUCUAUACAGUCAUUUUAUUUUCCACACACAUACUGAUACCUAGAAUAUUGUUAACCUACAGAUGCCAAAGG